rnacentral:rRNA from 1 species
CCCUAUGGGGUGCAGCAGGCGAUUGAAGCGGCCGGCCUGUCCGGCAUCGACAUCGUUGCCAUCGCCGGCACGCCCGACGCCAUCGCUUCCAUCAUCCAUGGCCGCGGCCUGAAGUACACGAUGGACCAGGCACCGUUUGACAUGGGCGCCUUUACAGUCCAGGCGGCCUAUGAUAUACUGACGGGUAAAGCGGUUGAGCCCAUCAUCCGCUGCGGCGGCACUUGCAUCGGCCCCGACAAUGCCGUCGAGCACAUGAAGACCUACUAUCCCAAUUACGAAUAUUAAUUCGCAAGGGGAAUAGAAGCGGAGAACCGGUGCCGCGUGGGUGCCACCGGGUCUCCGCAGCCUUCGUCCAUGGUGCUUCCGGGUGCGGGGAUCUUCGUGGAAUUGGCGGGAGGGC